GGGCCAAUAGCUCCAACUGGUAGAGCGCCGGAUUCCAGUCCCGGAUGUUGGGGGUUCGAAUCCCUCUUGGCCUG
rnacentral:tRNA from 1 species